AUCUCACGAUCCCAGAAACAGGAAACAAGAGGACGGGACGAGGGGCCCGGCUAGUACUUCCUCUCACCCCGCCAUGGAAUGAUGGCAAUUUGUGCCUGUCAUUCCGGCACAAGCUGGCAGGCCACCAUGUGGGAAUGCUUCAAGUGUUUGUGAAAAAGGGAAAGCAGUACAGUCCUGCAGUGUGGGGCCGAACGGGGGGCAAUGGCUGGAGGCACACCCAGAUCACUUUAUGGGGUACAGGCCUGGAAAGUGUCAUCUUGAAGGGGGAACGUGGGAGAGGCAGAAGUGGAGAGAUGGCUGUGGAUGAUAUUACCUUGAGGAAAGGCUCCUGCACAGAGGAGCACAAUCUAAGGAGACUCUGACUGAAAAAAUGGUGAAGGGCAGACAAAAAGCACAACGAGAGGAAAAAUCAUCCUAAAGAGAAGAGACUCUGCUGUGACACCUCCUUAUUCUGCUCUGAUCCUUACUUUGUCCUUCUCACCCCCCAGCCCUACUGUGAGUGGUAUCAAAAGUUAUGCAUACAGUUUAGUGUUACAGGAGGUUUUUCCUAUUCAUCUGUCCAUGAACAAGAAGACCUUAGUUCUCACGGGGAUAUUUUUGGCAGCACUCUCCGGUCGUCUCAGCCCACAAUUUCAGUUCUCUGAACUGUGCAUGUACUGAUGUAUUAUGGAAAUGUACUGCAUCUCACAUUGGCUCUGGCAGCCUCCAGUCACACCAGGAAGAUUCAUUCAUUUUUCUAAGUAGAAAUCUGUUCCCUUGCUUAGCAUUUUUGUUUUGUCCAAAUAUUGUAAACACAGUCUAUAUGUUUUAAUUCGUUUGCUUGUGAAACACACGACCACAAAUGCAGUUCCUGUUUUUGAUAAAGAACAAUACUAGACUUGGUGCUGUUUUAUUUUUAGAAGAAGUUCAAUUUGCCAAAAUUAGGUUUUAAAAUUGGAUUUUUCUAAAUGGAUGUAGUUCCAGAGUUCACAUCGACGGUCCCUGUGUCAAACUUCAAUGCAAUAAAGCUGUAAAUUUCCGCCAAAAAUUUCAGAAUUUUUUAGAUUAAUUUACAUAUUUACUUGGAUAAAGACUUUGAAAUGUCUUCACUUUUCAAAAUAAUUAACAUUCUGUGUGAUUAAAGACCAAAUUUAAACAUUAAAACUAAAGUCAGAAAUUUGUUAGAUAUUUAUUUUAUUUGUCAGAAAUAUCUCAGAAGUUUUCUGUGAUUAUAAAGUCAGGAGCUGCACAUCUGGAUAAUUUAAGUGGUAGAUCUGGCUUCUUUUCUUGCAUCAGAAUGACAUUUCCCACAUUCAGACCUGAUGCAGCCAUGUUGACGCUUUUUUCCCUCAUUGUCUUAGAUGUGCAUUUUGAAUCACAGUUGAAGUGUUUAUGUCAGGUCUAAACUCAGGAGAUGUCUUUCUGAAAGAGGAAAAGAGCCUAGAACCACCCACCCUGUGCAUCUCUUAAAUUUACCACUUAAGCCCUAGACGACUUCCGUCACUUUUUGUCACACAUGUCUGACUUUAUAAUCUCAAUAAAGGUCUUUGUUUUCUGCACCUUUCAAAUUUCUGGCUUUAUAAUAUCAGAAAAUAUCUUUGUUUUGUUGUUGGAAAUUUGUGCCCAUUUUAUGAAGAAGUGUAUCCUUUGUCUUGCUAUUUAAAACGUCAAGUUUUUCCUUGUAAAUUUGUGAAAUUGAUCUUAAAAUUUCAGAUUUUGGUGAAGAUUUACGUCUCUGCGGAUAGUUUUUAUUUUUCUUUUAUCUACAGUACAACAUGAUAUUUGAAUGCAUAACUGAGGUGUCAAAUAUUUAUAUGUGAACAGUUAUAGAAAUGAGACUAAAAUAUUAUUUCUAAUGUAAUUAAUGCAAAUAAAUAUAUGCAUAUUUGAGGAUAUUUAACUCAAUGCUUUUUUCAAAACAUUAAAUGUGAAAAUAAUUAAAAUUUUUACUCACCUUAUGUUAAAAAAGAUAUAAAUGUUUUAGCUUUGAUGUAUUUGUUUUAAGGGUGUGUUUUGCAACACACAAUGAAUUGACUGAGACUAUAACUCAUUAAAGUCAGUGAGCAGAGCUAACACUGCUAUACAAAAAGGGAUUAAUCUACAGUUUGGUUGUGCAAUUUUGCCUAUUAAAUGUGAUGAUGGACAGCAGCACAAGAAAUAUUAAAUAAUAAAUAGAUACUGAAAUAUGAAAUAGGAUAUGAUUUUCACAUAUUAAUUGAAGUGUUAGUUAUCUCUGCAUUUAAUUAUAAUGUAUAUUCUAAAUAUAUUGACAUAUUUAAAUAAAAAUACAUAGUUUCUUUUCUUGUAUGUAUUUAUUGCAGUUUCCUAAAAACUGUCACAUAUAAAUGUAUUUCACAAAUUGUUUAUUUAUUGAUUAGAAGCCCUUCUGUUCCUUUAUCAAUUUGAAACCGAUAAGUUAAAGGGACAGUUCAGUUUUUAUUAAAUAUUUUCACCUAAGAAUACGUUUUCGUAGUUUAGGCGAAUGACAUGUUAUAAACACUUUGCAUUGCUUUUGGAUCAUUUAGUUGUGUGUGAUGUUUUAAAAGAGUUGUGCUCUGGUACCAAGUGUGGAGAGUCUUCGAUGUAAAAAACUGACUGAUGCAAAAGCGGUAACAAUGAACAAAGAACCACUGUUAAAAAUUCUCAUUUUAGCUAAUAUAGAUGUAAAAAAAAAACAACCUUUAUUUGAGUUUAUUGAGUUCUGAGUUGAUCUUUGACUCCAAUAAGUUUUCCAAACUGAGACCUCUCUGUUGUUUCCUGUAAGUGAGAUACUGACUGUCCACAAGCGCUCAUAUGGACCAAUCCCCUACAAAAACAAAAGAAAAAAAACACCCAAGAAUUGUGAAAUCAUAUUUUUGUUUAUCUGAGAAUACUGUUUUAUAUGUUAUUUCAAGAACCUACUGACAUGACAGUACAAAUACAGUCAAGUUCAGACAAGUACAGUCAAGUACAGUCAAGUACAGGUGGGUUUUCGGUUCUCAUUGAUUUCUUGGAGAAAUACAUAAUUUUAUGGUUGUUGUGAAUAUUAAACAUACCAAAUAUAAUACCUGGAAUGCACUGCACCAUACUGUAAAAUGUUUUGUCUACAUUUAGAAAUAGCUUUACAAUUUAGUGAUUUUGAAAGCAGACGUUAUGGUUCUUCUACAGUUUGCCCCUGGAAAAUCUUGCUCUACCACUUCAGCCUCCUCUUUCACCAUGGAAAAUCUCACUCACCUGUAUGCGAUUGUGGUCUAAAUAUUCAUACCCUGUAAGAACAAGCUCAGUAUUCCAAGGAAAAAAAAAAAAAAAGCCUUUGAAUAUUCCUGGUUUUUGACAUAACUUGUUAUGGUAGUUACUUCUGCAUAUCUUGGAAGAGCACCAGGUUUCCUCUUUUUUUUUUUUUUUUUCGUUUUGCAAAAUGAUUUUGUUGUUCAGUACCAUCCCCAUCCCUACUUUUGUCUGAUGCCCCCUGCAGACGAACUACCUGAAGUGUUUCGAAAAGAAGGGGCAAAGGAUUUCGGGCACUCACAAUUGAACGUUUUCUUUGUAUUGUGCUUUGUUAUAUGAGAUGUAUUUGUUACUGACAUUGAUUGAUGAGCAGAAUGGUAUAUUUGUAAAUGUAUUCAUGUGUACAUACUCUGUACAAUGCCAUAAGCUGGUGUGAUUUAUAUGUUAUGUAAAUUCAUAUAUGAAUGUUGAUUGGACUUGGUUGGUAUUUCAGUAUUUAAUUAAAGACCCGGUGGAAGCCUUA